rnacentral:rRNA from 1 species
GACGAACGCUGGCGGCGUGCUUAACACAUGCAAGUCGAACGGAAAGGCCGUGCUUUCGUGGGGUGCCCGAGUGGCGAUCGGGUGAGUAACACGUGAGUAACCUGACCUAGUCUUUGGGGUGACUUCACGAAACUGGGGUUAAUCCCGUAUAGGAGCUCCUGCUCCAUGGUGGGGGUUGGAUCUUUUCGGCGGUUGGGGAUGGAUUCGCGGCUUAUGGGCUAGUUGGUGGGGUAGUGGCUUACCCAGGCAUUGCCUGAUAGCCGGCCUGGGUGGGUGACCGGCGACAUGGGGACUGAGGUACGGCGCAGAGUCGUACGUGAGGCAACAGGGGGGAACAUGGCACAACGAGCGGAAGCCUGAUACAGCAACGCUGCGUGCGUGAUGACGGCCUUCGGGUAGAAAACCGCUGCCGCCUGAGACGAAGCGGGAGUGACGGUAAUGGGUGAAGAAGCACCGGCUAACUACGUG